UACGAAGGGGGCUAGCGUUGCUCGGAAUCACUGGGCGUAAAGGGUGCGUAGGCGGGUCUUUAAGUCAGGGGUGAAAUCCUGGAGCUCAACUCCAGAACUGCCUUUGAUACUGAGGAUCUUGAGUUCGGGAGAGGUGAGUGGAACUGCGAGUGUAGAGGUGAAAUUCGUAGAUAUUCGCAAGAACACCAGUGGCGAAGGCGGCUCACUGGCCCGAUACUGACGCUGAUGCACGAAAAGCGUGGGGGAGCAAACAGG
rnacentral:rRNA from 1 species